rfam:Rattus norvegicus chromosome 3, whole genome shotgun sequence.
GGGGAUUUAGCUCAGUGGUAGAGCGCUUGCCUAGCAAGCACAAGGCCCUGGGUUGGGUACCCAGCUCCG